CUAGAACGUGUUACCGACCCUUUCCCCCGAGUCUAGCUACCCGAAUAAAUCCGAAGUAGGGUUGCCAGGAGUGAGUAGGCCCAAACCUCUGUCCCUGGCCGCAGGGGCCUGGGAACGGCUCUCCCGAGGGCCGAAAGGAGCCGAGCCGAGCUGACUCAGGGCCGACCCAAGGGUCGAGGCCCUGGGAGGACUUCGCAUUUAUUUAUUGUUGAGAGAGUGCAAGCAGGGGAGGAGCAGAGAGAGAGAGGAAGACACAGAAUGUGAAGCAGACUCCAGACUCUGAGCUGUCAGCACAGAGCCCAACACAGGGCUCGAACCCAUGAACUGAGAUCAUGACCUGAGCCGAAGUCAGACGUUCAACCAACCAAGCCAUCCAGGCGCCCCUUUCCCCUGCCACUUUAAACAAUAUACGGGGAACAUUAUAAUCAGAAACUAAGAAUUUUAUAUUUUUAAAAUCUUAACAUUUUGAACACCUGGUUCAAAUAUCUACUUAGAGUUUUUAAAUGACUCAAAUUCUCAGUAGGAUAUUAAACUUUAAUAUAGCUUAGUUGUAUUAAAUCAGCCUAGUACAUGAUUUUCUCACUGGUUCUCUUUCCCUUUAACAUAGUAGAUAAGGCCCCUGCCUGUCUCUCUAGCUUAUUACUUUCUCCUGUUUUCUGAACUCCAGCCUUAAGUUUCAAGGUGUACUAGUUAUCCUCCCAACUCAGGACCUUUGCUGAAGGAUACAUUCUACCUAGAAUGCUGUUUACCCCUUCCCUUCCCUUAACCACAAACAUGGUCCUCAGACCAUCCAUCAACUCUAGUUCAAAAAAAUACCAUCUAGGAGCACCUAACUGGCUUAGUCUGUAGAGCACACAACCCUUGAUCUCAGGGUUGUUAGAGCCCCAUAUUGGGUGUAGAGACUACUUAAAAAUGAAAUCUUUAAAGAAAUACCAUCUGUGGGAAAAACUUUGACUCUACUAGGUCAGUUCUUGGUUUGACACUCUUGGCAACCCAUACUUCAUGACUUAACACAGUUUAUAAUUGUUGUUCAGUGUCUGUUUCCCCACUAGAUUGCAAGCUCCAAGAUAUCAGGAAACCUGCUUAUCAUUCCUAGCAUAGAGUUGGCUAAAAAAAUAAUCAGUCCCAAAGUAAAACUAUUGUCUCAUAAUUACUAGGCAUGUAAACUGCAUCAUACAAUUCAUUCCAUUUGGAGCAUUUAACUGUUUUCUGACUUUGUAGUAUUUAAGUAUUUGAUUAUAAACACUUGCUUUCACAUACUUAGGCUUUUUUAAAAGGUUAAAACUGAGCAAGUAAAGAAGUGUUGACAAUUCUACAAUUCACACUGAGAUGUUUUCACGUAAAUUUUAUUAUAAAAGUCAUAUAAUAAAUUCACAUUGAGAUGUUUUCAUGUAAAUGUUAUGUCAUACAAUAAAAAAAUACAGAAUGGUAUGUAAGAAGAUAGAAAGUAAAAAUCCCCCUCACCCUCCAAUCUUUCAGUGUCACAACUGCAGUUUCUUUAAAAUACUGAAAUUUAAUAAGUAUUCUAAUGAGUCACAAGACUUGUCUCUCUAUUGGUUUGUUUUAUAUAGUGUUGAGACACAUUAAAACAUUAAGCAUCAUUUAUAGAGGGUUGAAAAAAAUAUGGUUAACACUGGGUUGCCAAAAGCCCAUUUUCUUCACAUUUAAUAUUCUUCCUCAUUAAAAUAUUGCUCUAACACAGGUACUUCCUACCCAUACUGAUCACCAAAAUUUUAUUGUCUUAUCUUGCAAGUGUAGCACAUAUAUAAUUAAACAGUUGGUAAACAUAUAGAGAUUGAGCACAAAUAAGGCCCACAAAGUACUGCUGUGUAAUGUAUCUAUCAACAGGUUGAUCAGACCAGUAGUUAUAUUUGACAGCAAGAAAAAAAUUAACUGGUUUCUGUUCAUAGCUGUGAUUAAACAAAGACUGGGUUCCUUUCUUUCAGCUUCAGAGACCAGAGAUUCUAAAUGUUUUUUAUUUGUGACAGAUGAAUGGAUCAGUUUCCAAGAACAUGGUACCACAGCCUCUUUAAUUAGAAAUUUGGCAAAACUCAAAAUUAUAUCACCCAGUAAUAAACUACUAAGAAGGAUCAGGCUAGAAGCAACUAUCCAAAUACAAAAGGCUAAAUUGGCCAUUCUCCGAGAUACUACUUCUACAUUUACCUGAACUAUGUAGAGAGAUAUGAAGAGACUAAUAGCUGUCAGCAAAAUACAGUGGGCUCCUUUUAUCCAGUCUUUGACAUGUGAUCUUUUUUUAAGCAUAUAUGACCCUGUUUGCACGCCAGCCAUAUGAAUUGCCACAUACCCCAAGGUAGAAAUUAUUCCUUCUCGGUUGGCAUUUAAUAAACCAACCCUUGUGCCACUACCAUCAGUGCCA